UACCUGGUUGGAUCUGCCAUAUUCUUUUCACAAAAAAAGAUGAAUCGCUGCAAAUCUAAGUACACAUGGUCGGUACAGGGAAUCUGUGAAUGGCUCAUUAAAUCAGUUAUGGUUCCAUUGAUCGCUCCAAUGUUACUUGUAACUGUGGCAGUUCUAGUGCUAAGACAUGCCAACAAGUGCUGACCUUCGGUGACAUGUGCAAUUAUCAGACCCAAAACCCAUAUGGGUUGCUAUCGGGUUCCCCACCCGCUUUUGGUAAUCCUUUGCAGCACUGGCGUCUCAUUCGAAUGUCUGCCCUAUCAACUUUUGAUGGUAGUUUCUGUGCCUACCAUGGUGACCAGGGCUAACGGGGAAUCAAGGUUCGAUUCCGGAGAGGCUGCCUGAGAAACGGCUACCACAUCCAAGGAAGGCAGUAGGCAUGCAAAUGAUCCACUCCCGACUCUGGGAUGUAAUGACGAAAAAUUACAAUACAGGACUCUUGAGUCCCUGUAAUUAGAAUGUGUACAUUACAAAUCGUAUUACUGAUGUUUAGAACUGAUGUUUAAAAAGCAUUUUACAGUGGUCAGUAACUUCUGAAAUUGUCAUUGUUUUAGCCAGUGGUGGAGACAGUAUCCAACAGCCCUUGAUCAUGA
rnacentral:ncRNA from 1 species